rnacentral:rRNA from 1 species
UCCGUAGGUGAACCUGCGGAAGGAUCAUUAACACUAAUCCAACUCAACUCAACGAAGCCUUCAGUUGCAGUAGUGCGAGCUAGCGAAAGCAAAGCAGUGCCGCUGCAGCAACUAAACAACUAAUCAAACAAAGGAGCCUAACUAAGCUCAACCACAUCAACCAAAUUCUCAACGAUGGAUAUCUUGGUUCCCAUAACGAUGAAGAACGCAGCGAAGUGCGAUAAGCAAUGCGAAUUGCAGAACCGUGAGUCAUCAGAUUUUUGAACGCAUCUGGCGCCGGUUGGGUCUCCAGCCGGCAUGCUUGUUUCAGUGUCUUGUUUUCUCCUCACCCAAAUCUUAAUGCGAGAGAUACCCUUCUCUUGUCAAGCAAGAAAGCACUCUGCGCUCUGCGAGCGACUUCGACUAGUUCGAGGGUCGCACUCAAUGCAGCAGUCACAUUGCUCACAAUGUGAACUCAUUGAGAGCAGAGGCAGUGCAGCAUCCGCUGCCAGUGCUUAGACACGCCAACUUUCUUUGCAUCUGAAAUCAAGCAGGAUCACCCGCUGAACUUAAGCAUAUCAAUAAGCGGAGGA